rnacentral:rRNA from 1 species
GGCUCACCUAGGCGACGAUCCCUAGCUGGUCUGAGAGGAUGACCAGCCACACUGGAACUGAGACACGGUCCAGACUCCUACGGGAGGCAGCAGUGGGGAAUAUUGCACAAUGGGCGCAAGCCUGAUGCAGCCAUGCCGCGUGUGUGAAGAAGGCCUUCGGGUUGUAAAGCACUUUCAGCGGGGAGGAAGGCGUUAAGGUUAAUAACCUUGGCGAUUGACGUUACCCGCAGAAGAAGCACCGGCUAACUCCGUGCCAGCAGCCGCGGUAAUACGGAGGGUGCAAGCGUUAAUCGGAAUUACUGGGCGUAAAGCGCACGCAGGCGGUCUGUCAAGUCGGAUGUGAAAUCCCCGGGCUCAACCUGGGAACUGCAUUCGAAACUGGCAGGCUAGAGUCUUGUAGAGGGGGGUAGAAUUCCAGGUGUAGCGGUGAAAUGCGUAGAGAUCUGGAGGAAUACCGGUGGCGAAGGCGGCCCCCUGGACAAAGACUGACGCUCAGGUGCGAAAGCGUGGGGAGCAAACAGGAUUAGAUACCCUGGUAGUCCACGCCGUAAACGAUGUCGAUUUGGAGGUUGUGCCCUUGAGGCGUGGCUUCCGGAGCUAACGCGUUAAAUCGACCGCCUGGGGAGUACGGCCGCAAGGUUAAAACUCAAAUGAAUUGACGGGGGCCCGCACAAGCGGUGGAGCAUGUGGUUUAAUUCGAUGCAACGCGAAGAACCUUACCUGGUCUUGACAUCCACAGAACUUUCCAGAGAUGGAUUGGUGCCUUCGGGAACUGUGAGACAGGUGCUGCAUGGCUGUCGUCAGCUCGUGUUGUGAAAUGUUGGGUUAAGUCCCGCAACGAGCGCAACCCUUAUCCUUUGUUGCCAGCGGUUCGGCCGGGAACUCAAAGGAGACUGCCAGUGAUAAACUGGAGGAAGGUGGGGAUGACGUCAAGUCAUCAUGGCCCUUACGACCAGGGCUACACACGUGCUACAAUGGCAUAUACAAAGAGAAGCGACCUCGCGAGAGCAAGCGGACCUCAUAAAGUAUGUCGUAGUCCGGAUUGGAGUCUGCAACUCGACUCCAUGAAGUCGGAAUCGCUAGUAAUCGUAGAUCAGAAUGCUACGGUGAAUACGUUCCCGGGCCUUGUACACACCGCCCGUCACACCAUGGGAGUGGGUUGCAAAAGAAGUAGGUAGCUUAACCUUCGGGAGGGCGCUUACCACUUUGUGAUUCAUGACUGGGGUGAAGUCGUAACAAGGUAACCGUAGGGGAACCUGCGGUUGGAUCACCUCCUUA